rnacentral:lncRNA from 1 species
UUAACCAGAAGCGGUGCAUCUGAUAAUAAAGACAGAAAGAGAUGGUAAUCAGACUUGAACAAGAACAGUGCCUAGACACCACCAAGAAGCUUUACGUGCACUGACAUAACAGUAAACAAAUAUUCUGGAGGCUGGGAAGUCCAAGAUCAAGGCACCAACAGUUUGGUGUCUGGUAAGGACCUGGUCUCUACUUCCAAGAAGGUGCCUUGAGCACUGCAUCUUCCAGAGUUGGGGAAUGCUGUUUUUCACAUGGCAGAGGAGAAGAGCCAAGAGAGUAACUGACUCCUGAAAGCCCUUUUUAAAAGACAUUAAACUCAUCCAAAAAGGCAGAGUCCUCAUGGGCAAAUCACCUCUUAAAGGUCCACCUCUAUAUACUAUUACAAGGGCAAUUAAAUUUCAGGGAGUUUUGGAGGGAACAAACACUCUGGGGACUGUUGUGGGGUGGGGGGAGUGGGGAGGGAGAGCAUUGGGAGAUAUACCUAAUGCUAGAUGA